rnacentral:rRNA from 1 species
ACGCUGGCGGCACGCCUAAUACAUGCAAGUCGAACGAAGUAGCAAUACUUAGUGGCAGACGGGUGAGUAACAUGUAGGUAUCUUCCCUUUGGUGAGGAAUAACACGAGGAAACUUGUGCUAAUACCUCAUAAGUCUUUACGGAGAAAGCUUUAUGCGCCAAUGGAUGAGCCUGCACUUGAUUAGUUUGUUGGUGGGGUAAUGGCCUACCAAGACAAUGAUCAAUAGCUGAUUUGAGAGGAUGAUCAGCCACAUUGGGACUGAGACACGGCCCAAACUCCUACGGGAGGCAGCAGUAGGGAAUCUUGCACAAUGGGGGAAACCCUGAUGCAGCGAUGCCGCGUGAGUGAAGAAGGCCCUUGGGUUGUAAAGCUCUUUCGUCGGGGAAGAAAAUGACUGUACCCGAAUAAGAAGGUCCGGCUAACUUCGUGCCAGCAGCCGCGGUAAUACGAAGGGACCUAGCGUAGUUCGGAAUUACUGGGCUUAAAGAGUUCGUAGGUGGUUAAAAUAGUUGGUGGUGAAAGCCCAGAGCUUAACUCUGGAACAGCCAUCAAAACUUUUUAGCUAGAGUAUGAUAGAGGAAAGCAGAAUUUCUAGUGUAGAGGUGAAAUUCGUAGAUAUUAGAAAGAAUACCAAUUGCGAAGGCAGCUUUCUGGAUCAUUACUGACACUGAGGAACGAAAGCAUGGGUAGCGAAGAGGAUUAGAUACCCUCGUAGUCCAUGCCGUAAACGAUGUGUGUUAGACGUUGGAAAUUUAUUUUCUGUGUCGCAGCGAAAGCAAUAAACACACCGCCUGGGGAGUACGACC